GACGAACGCUGGCGGCGUGCCUAAUACAUGCAAGUAGAGCGCUGAAGAGAGGAGCUUGCUCUUCUUGGAUGAGUUGCGAACGGGUGAGUAACGCGUAGGUAACCUGCCUUGUAGCGGGGGAUAACUAUUGGAAACGAUAGCUAAUACCGCAUAACAAUAGGUGACACAUGUCAUUUAUUUGAAAGGGGCAAUUGCUCCACUACAAGAUGGACCUGCGUUGUAUUAGCUAGUAGGUGAGGUAACGGCUCACCUAGGCGACGAUACAUAGCCGACCUGAGAGGGUGAUCGGCCACACUGGGACUGAGACACGGCCCAGACUCCUACGGGAGGCAGCAGUAGGGAAUCUUCGGCAAUGGGGGCAACCCUGACCGAGCAACGCCGCGUGAGUGAAGAAGGUUUUCGGAUCGUAAAGCUCUGUUGUAAGUCAAGAACGAGUGUGAGAGUGGAAAGUUCACACUGUGACGGUAGCUGACCAGAAAGGGACGGCUAACUACGUG
rnacentral:rRNA from 1 species